GUCUUCCAGUAUCUUCAACCAAGUCCAGUUGCCCUUGAUUUUAACCUUCGUUGGAUAACUAUGACCUGGAUGACUGAGAAUCUUCAUAGACAUGUAUAGAGACAGUGGUCCUCAUUCAUCAAACUGUUGUACCAUCAAAUCUGAUCUCAAAGUGUUUGUUCUCUCAUUUCAACACUAAACUACUGAUCAGUUCAUCUUUGUCACAGCUCUGAGAUCAGUCUGACUGAAGCCUGCAAAUCACUGGCUCUUAUUUCAGAGAACCAUCAUUACAUUUAGUAACCAUGAGGUCUUUCUACAGACUAGAACCUCUGCUGAAGUCCACUGGAAGGAGUGAUCUCCGUCAGACUGCGAGGAAUCAGAAAGGUGGUGGUGUUGAGAGAGGAUCAGCUGUGUCCUGAUGAUCCAGAGAGGUUGAAGCAGCAACAUCAGCUUGUGUGUGGAGAGGCUCUGACUGGGCCAUGUUACUGGGAGGUAGAGUGGAGAGGAGAGCUUCAUCCAGCAGUGACUGACAGAGGAAUCCCAACAGUGCUGCAGUCUGAACUGCCCUGUGAAAGAGUGAUUUAUGAUUCUGGGACAUUAACUUGUUACUUCCUCUUGCUCAUGACACUGAUUGGAAACUCACUAUUUAAACUGCUUGCACUUUAAUCAAACAAACACUAAUAAUGCUAUUUAUCAUGAGCAAGUACACUUUCAGACACUUUACUCAAUGGCUGUCUGACAAACAUAACGUAAUAAAUGUAAUAAUUUAUCGCUGUAAAUCAUCCCGUUUCACCAAUUCUACUGCAAACAGUUACUGACACUUUCAACUAAAAUAUUCUUUAUUUCAACAAUCCACUUCAAAAUUAAGUAUUCAUAUUAAUGCCGGCUUUCAUCCAUGUCCUGUCUGAAGUUAUGGAAUGUAUACUAGCUAGCCAAAGUUCCGUACGGCGGUCCAUAGUUGCCUGUCUAAUAAUAGCAAUAUUAUAUACCUAUAUUGGGGGGGGGGGGGGAUUUUGAGCAUAUUUGAAUAUGGGGGGGUGGUGGAAGUGUCCCAACGGAUAUAUAUUAUGAUUACGGCCUUGAUGUGAACACUUUCUUUCUGACUGACUUCAUUUUACUAAAUUUAAGUUUAAUUAUUAUUUAGUUAAAUACUUUUUAUAUUUUCUGUAUUUUGUAUUCAUAGUUCCUCCAGGCUUUUUUCACUUUGGAAUAAUAACAUUGAAAUGAUCAAUAAAUGAGCCUUAAAUAGA